rnacentral:lncRNA from 1 species
GGGUGAAGGUGCAAGUGGUUGUUAAAGAAUAACUUGCACUGAACAUGACCAACAUGAGAACUACAUGGAUGUUUACUCACUCGUUAGUGGUCUUCUCGAUGCUCCAGUGGUGUGAGUGGUCUUUUGACAUGCAGUGCCAUUGGCUAUUCAUAGCAAGGCUAUUGGGUUUGACUGCACGUUCUUUUGGUCUCUAACCAUUCGGGUUCUUGAUGUGUAUGUUAGCUUCAAUAGGUUCAGAUUCACUGUUUGGAGUAGGAUGCACCUAGAUAGAAUCUAUCG